CCUACGGGUGGCAGCAGUGAGGAAUAUUGGUCAAUGGCCGGAAGGCUGAACCAGCCAAGCCGCGUGAAGGACGAAGGUGCCAAGCAUUGUAAACUUCUUUUGUCAAGGGACAAAAUCAGGCUCGAGAGCCUGACCGAGUGUACUUUAAGAACAAGCAUCGGCUAACUCCGUGCCAGCAGCCGCGGUACUACGGAGGAUGCGAGCGUUAUCCGGAUUUAUGGGGUUUAAAGGGUGCGUAGGCGGGCUGUUAAGUCAGCGGUAAAAGCCCGGGGCUAAACCCCGGCGAGCCGUUGAAACUGGCUGUCUUGAGAUGGCGAGAGGUAUGCGGAAUGCGCAGUGUAGCGGUGAAAUGAUUAGAUAUUGCGCAGAACUCCGAUUGCGAAGGCAGCAUACCGGCGGCGAUCUGACGCUGAGGCACGAAAGCGUGGGUAUCGAACAGGAUUAGAUACCCGGGUAGUC
rnacentral:rRNA from 1 species